rnacentral:misc_RNA from 1 species
UUAGGUUCAGCGGGUAUCCCUACCUGAUCCGAGGUCAACCUUGAUAUAAAAUUCUCCCUGAAGGGGGAGGCAGACCGUGCCCCGUCGACCCGCGUCCAGUACGUGUUCGGUGAGGAACUCAAUGUACCGGGGGUGCAACGAAGCCGCCGUCAUUGUCUUUGGGAGGGGCGAGGGACGUGAGUCCCCCGCCAGCCGCCCAA